rnacentral:misc_RNA from 1 species
AAAAAAAGGGGCGGUUUGACCCGCCCACAUUUUUCCCUAAUCCCUUUAAUCCUUUUCAUCAUCCUGAUGAAUCGCGUCCUGCGAUGUCCUU